rnacentral:ncRNA from 1 species
AGGGUAAAACCGAUAACUGGGGCUAAGUCGUAACAAGGUAGCCGUACCGGAAGGUGCGGCUGGAAUACCUCCUUU